rnacentral:rRNA from 1 species
AUUGAACGCUGGCGGCAGGCCUAACACAUGCAAGUCGAACGGUAACAGGAAGAAGCUUGCUUCUUUGCUGACGAGUGGCGGACGGGUGAGUAACGCGUGGAUAACCUGCCUCAUACAGGGGGAUAACAGCUAGAAAUGGCUGCUAAUACCGCAUAAGCGCACAGUGCCGCAUGGCAGUGUGUGAAAAACUCCGGUGGUAUGAGAUGGAUCCGCGUCUGAUUAGCCAGUUGGCGGGGUAACGGCCCACCAAGACUACGAUGGAUAGGGGUUCUGAGAGGAAGGUCCCCCACAUUGGAACUGAGACACGGUCCAA